rnacentral:rRNA from 1 species
UACGGAGGGUGCGAGCGUUGUUCGGAAUCACUGGGCGUAAAGCGCGUGUAGGCGGCCCACUAAGGUCUGAUGUGAAAGCCCCGGGGGCUCACCCCCCGGAAGUGCAUUGGAAACUGGUGGACUCGAGUCCCGGAGAGGAGAGUGGAAUUCCUGGUGUAGCGGUGAAAUGCGUAGAUAUCAGGAGGAACACCGGUGGCGAAGGCGGCUCUCUGGACGGUGACUGACGCUGAGACGCGAAAGCGUGGGGAGCAAACAGG